rnacentral:lncRNA from 1 species
UAGCCAAGUUGUAAAGACAAGCAGAAUGAAAGCCUCUGCAAACAGCAAUAGAUCAGUGGCAGCUGGUGUGAGCAGACCGAUCCCAUCGCCUUAUUGAUCUCUGUUACAGGGGAUUGACAUUUUUCACCCAGUGCAGGUUCCUUCACUUCUAUUGGAAGAAUGGCCUUUCCUCCAGGUCUGCUGGAAAUCUGUGUUUGAAUCAUGAAAUGCACUUUUCAAUGGACAUGACAUUCUGGUAACUGGAACAGUAACCAUUUACAAAACGAAGUAUGUCUGGCUUGUAGACCCAGCUGGGAAAGGAUCUAAAUGGGGAGCACAUGGAGAGCUGCCGUGGAUGAGGCCAAGCACAGCAGGUAGUUGUGGGGUGGGUUUUGGAGCUUUUCAUAGGAGUUGGGCUUGAUGAUUCUUAUGGGUCC